UACAGAGGGGGCAAGCGUUUGUUCGGAAUUACUGGGCGUAAAGGGCGCGUAGGCGGCCUGCUAAGUCGAACGUGAAAUCCCUGGGCUCAACCCAGGAACUGCGUCCGAUACUGGUUGGCUUGAAUCCGGGAGAGGGAUGUGGAAUUCCAGGUGUAGCGGUGAAAUGCGUAGAUAUCAGGAGGAACACCAAUGGCGAAGGCAGCACUCUGGGACGUGACUGACGCUGAGACGCGAAAGCGUGGGGAGCAAACAGG
rnacentral:rRNA from 1 species